rnacentral:rRNA from 1 species
CUACGGGGCGCUGCAGUGAGGAAUAUUGCACAAUGGGGGGAACCCUGAUGCAGCAACGCCGCGUGGAGGAUGACGCAUUUCGGUGUGUAAACUCCUUUUAUAUGUCAAGAAAAUGACGGUAGCAUAUGAAUAAGCACCGGCUAACCCGUGCCAGCAGCCGCGGUAAUACGGAGGGUGCAAGCGUUACUCGGGAUCACUGGGCGUAAAGGACGCGUAGGCGGGUUGGAAAGUCAGGUGUGAAAUCCUACAGCUUAACUGUAGAACUGCACUUGAAACUUCUAAUCUAGAGUAUGGGAGGGGGAGAUGGAAUUAGUGGUGUAGGGGUAAAAUCCGUAGAUAUCACUAGGAAUACCUAAAGCGAAGGCGAUCUCCUGGAACAUUACUGACGCUAAGGCGUGAAAGCGUGGGGAGCAAACAGGAUUAGAUACCCCAGUAGUC